rnacentral:rRNA from 1 species
UACGUAGGGUGCGAGCGUUAAUCGGAAUUACUGGGCGUAAAGCGUGCGCAGGCGGUGAUGUAAGACAGAUGUGAAAUCCCCGGGCUCAACCUGGGAACUGCAUUUGUGACUGCAUCGCUGGAGUGCGGCAGAGGGGGAUGGAAUUCCGCGUGUAGCAGUGAAAUGCGUAGAUAUGCGGAGGAACACCGAUGGCGAAGGCAAUCCCCUGGGCCUGCACAGACGCUCAUGCACGAAAGCGUGGGGAGCAAACAGG